rnacentral:rRNA from 1 species
GAUGAACGCUGGCGGCGUGCCUAAUACAUGCAAGUAGAACGCUGAAGGAAGGAGCUUGCUCUUUCCGGAUGAGUUGCGAACGGGUGAGUAACGCGUAGGUAACCUGCCUGGUAGCGGGGGAUAACUAUUGGAAACGAUAGCUAAUACCGCAUAACAGUAGAUGUUGCAUGAUAUCUACUUAAAAGGUGCAAUUGCACCACUACCAGAUGGACCUGCGUUGUAUUAGCUAGUUGGUGAGGUAACGGCUCACCAAGGCGACGAUACAUAGCCGACCUGAGAGGGUGAUCGGCCACACUGGGACUGAGACACGGCCCAGACUCCUACGGGAGGCAGCAGUAGGGAAGCUUCGGCAAUGGACGGAAGUCUGACCGAGCAACGCCGCGGGAGUGAAGAAGGGUUUCGGAUCGUAAAGCUCUGUUGUAAGAGAAGAACGAGUGUGAGAGUGGAAAGUUCACACUGUGACGGUAGCUUACCAGAAAGGGACGGCUAACUACGUG